GGUUGCAACAUCCCCGUGGAUUGGGUGAGGGCCGAAAGGCCACACAGCGAAUCGACUGCAACU
rnacentral:sRNA from 1 species